UCGUGCUCGCUAACCGGGUCCUCAGGUUACAACCCAUUAUGACUAGUCAAUAGGAUGAGCUCGAUGGGCUUUUUACCGUUCCCCUCCUAGAGAAAUUCUCCCUCCGUCGACGCGAAAUGAGAGGCGAUGCCAUUGACGAUUCUGAGGCGAUUUGUUCUUCGGUUCCCUACUCGAUCUUAGUGGUAAUCUAUGGCGAGGUUCUUAUUUUGGAAGCUUGGAAUCUCUGUGCCCGUUUUGGAAUUUGAGUUCUAUUAUCUGAAAUCCUCGUCGUUAAAUGGAUUUGUGAGCCACUAAUUUGACUGGAUUUGAGGUUCUUCUUCGAUUCCGAGACGUUGAGCUCCCUCGUUAUCUAGGCGAAAGGCUUGCGAGGAAUGUGGUGACCAUGGCGGUUUGGGAGGCGUCGACCAAGCCGCUGGCUGCCAAUAAUGGAGACGACCGAGUUCAUCAACGCCUUGAAACAGGAGUGGGACAGAAUUGAGGACAAGUACACGGUGAUGACACUCGCAGCCACUGCGUCGCUCAGGAUGUGGAGCCGGCGGAGUUGCAUCGGCAAUUGGCAUGCCUCAUGUUAUUCCUGGUCUAAUGAAGGCUGUUGGCAUUGUGUACAGUGAAGGUGACUGAACAGAAGCUUGCCGUAGUGUUUCUAAUUGUGGACAAGUAACUUAUACUUGUUCAUCUCUGAAAUCUGAAAUUACUCUCUGUCCUGGAGACUGUACUGGAAGAAGCUAUACUGCUACUAAAGUUCAGAUUGGACAUAUAAGUUCAGAAAAAAAAUCAGAAUUAUAUCUUGAAUUCAUAUAAGUUCAAAAAAUUCAGAAUUAUGUCUUGAAUUCAUACAUCUGAGUACAGAAAUUGAUACCAUUUAAGUUUCUCAGAUCUGUUCAAAUAUGCAAUACAAAAUUGUCAGAUGUUUUCUGUGAAGUUCUGUGAUGUUUCUGUAAAGUUUUUAAGUCUAGAAGUUUUUUUUUUGUUAUGAAUUUAACAUGCUGAUUGGUUUUUCGAUUGGUUUUCCUCUUUCUCCUUGUAUUUGAUUCUUCUCCUCCAUCUCCAUCUCCUCCUUCUCUUCUCUCUUUGAUAGAUCUGUUUGUGUGUAAAAAUCCCGAAGUGUUUUAUUCUUGCAAACCAAGUUGCUUUAUUGCUUUACUGAUCAGAUCACGUGACACUGUAAAGAUUCUUCUUAGUAGUCAAGUUUUCUCAAUAGGGUAUAAGGUACGCGAUUCUGUUAAUCUGGGCCUAAUAUUAGAUUUGAGUAACGGUUUGAAUUUGGGCUAUUAUUUGGAUUUGGGUCCUGGUAGCAUCGAAUUGAUUUGGGCCCAUUAGCAUCAAAUGUAUUUGGGCUCAAAUAAAUGGGUCAUGAAUAGCCUUUCAGAUUUAGGCUAGUAUGUUUUUUUUUUUUAAUUUUUUGUUCUAAAAAAACUGAGGCUGUUUGAUUCAGAUCUUGUGGCUAGAAAAUUCGACAGAUUGCAAGUUAAAAAAUCGGUCGACUGAGUUGUAUUGUAAUUCUCCUCAAGUAAUGAUAGACCUAUUUCAAACAUAUGAAUUUGCAAUUUUUUCCUCAACUAACUAAUGGAGGCAUGAAAGUUACUAAUCAGAUUUAAACAAUAUAUCAAUUACCUGAUUGUGAUGUUGUUGCGUUCAUGUCCAUGUUAAUUUCUUCUUCUGAUAAAAGCUUUGUGAUAUACCUGCAUAUAUAGACACAAAAUUACAGUGUUUAGAAUUUAAAAUUACAGUGUCUGUAACAUGUAAUUAUGAAAUAAAUUGACUGUAAUUUCACAUAAGUGACUCAUACCUGAACUUGGUACAUGUUUUGUCACUCUUGAAUUGCUAUCUUCAUUAUUCCCAUCUUUGAAUCCUUCAAAUUUAGACAUUUUUUUUCUCACAGUGUAAAUUAAGUAGUUAAAAUACUUUAUAUAAUUCUAUCUUCUAAUUUUGCUCUAGAUUCUUUCCAGAUUUUCUUGAUCACAAGUUGUCAAAAUUUGUAUAACUACCAUUAGCAAAAUGUAAAUGUACAUGCAAAUUGGAUGAGUGAAAGUACAACAGUUACAUACCUGUGCUUUGAAGUUGCUUAUCUUCCACUAUAUUUUGAUAGUUUGAUGAAUUUUUCUUCUUACUACUGAUACAAUUUUUCUCUUUGUCCUCUGUGAUGAUUGCAAAUAAAAUGUUUUUUUUUAUUUUCAUAUUAAUUUUCCUGUUUGGUUCUUACUGUGAUAGAAUCUUAGUUUGAAAUAAUGCACUGCUAUAUCAAUCAAACAUACCUGGAUUUAUUAACCACUUUUAUAAAAAAAAUCACUAUAAUUUAAAAAUAGUGAUUCAUACCUGUACUUGAUAUCUCAUUUGUCAUUGUUAAGCUGCUAUUAUCAUCAUUGUCACCUUGUAUACUUACAAAUGAAGGGAAAUUUAAGUUGAACAUUUUGUUUCCAGGUAAUGACAAAUUAGAUUUGAAACUAAGCUCAUCACAGUUGUGACAUUUACAUAUUUUUUAUUUAGAAAUUACAGAGUUUUGUUUGUGUAAUUCCUACAUAAUUUCACUGUAAUUAGUUUGAAUAGUUAUUAAAUACAACAUACUGAUAGAUUUUUCUAAAUAUCUGUUUGAUUCUAAAUUAAGAACUACUUAAAAAUUAAUAUUAGUUCUUUCAUUAUGGUAUUAUAUUUUUUUUACUUUUGAUUUAUGACAUCCUAAUUCAUAGGAAGAUAAAAUCAUAUGGAAUUGAAAUUCAAAAAUUUUAUAACGGUUUGUCUCUUAUCAUGCACUUUUCUCUUUUUCUGUACUUUUUAUGCAAUAAUUGUACAAAUUGAACAAUUAGAAACCUCUACAUUUGUUUCCAGAUUGGAGAUGCUCCUAUUCCACAUUCUUUACAAUAUUUGAUGCUUUUCCUUUGUUAGUUGUGAUGCCUGGAAAUAAUUGUAGAAAAUGAACAACAUAUAAAAUCAUACAAAAUAUCUUUUGACUAUGUUGAAAUUACAUAAACGUUACAUUGAAAUUACUGUGUUUAUUAAAUGUAAUUCCUGUACCAAAUGAUUGUAAUUACAUAUAUAGUUGCAGAAAAAGAAGUCUAUAUGAAAUCAAACAAAAUUACAUACAAAUGCUCUAAAUUUAAGUUUUGGAGCCAGUUACAUGAAUUUAUUACUGAAAUUAUAGUGUUUUUUCUAUGUAAUUCUCAUACGAAUUCAUUGUAAUUUGACUUAUAAGUUAGAAAACAGAUCCAAUUAAACUGUUUUUUCUUUAUAAGUAAUCAACUGUAUUGUUUUGGGUCAAACUUGCUUUCUACAAUUUGCUUUUAGAUGAACUUAUAGUACGAUUUGAUUUUGAUCCGCCUGCUAGUGAACUAAUGUAAGCAAAGUUUGUUUCUCUUGACUCAUUUAAUGAAAUCUGCUUGAAAGUUAGUUUAUGCUACAAGUGAACUUUUUGAAAAUUAAUUUUGUACAGAAUUGGAGAAAGAACAAAUAACUUGUAUCAUUGUUUUUCUCUCAGAACUUUAAAUUGUAAAGAAUUAAGUAAUGUUCAUUUGUGCUAUAUAUAAACACUUUUUUGAUUAAAAGUUAUACCCUGUUUAUUUUUUUUUCCAAACAGUUAAUGUAUGUUUUGAUUUGUGUAUCUUUGCAGACCAUUUUGCAAUGGAAUACAAAAUUACAGUUCAAAUCAAUCCAACUACGCAAAAUAAUCAAUUUUUGAAUCUGAAAAUAUUCAAAUUUGAAACUGUAUAGUGUUAGUGAAAUAAUCAAAUCGUUGAAUAUAUAUUAGUGAAAUAAUCAAAUCGUUGAAUAUCUAUUUUAUUUCUGUUUACUAAAAUCAGUUUAUUUUGGAAGAUAAGUUAAAGUUUAGACUUAAUUUGAUUAUAAGAUUUAAAAUUCUGCCUAUUCUCCAGACUUUAAAUUUAACAUUAAUGUUGUAAUGUUAAAUGCUCUAGAUUUACACUGAUAUAUCACAAUAGGUACAGCACAAAUCAUUCUUCUAAAUGUUCAGAUUAAAUAAUAAGUCAAACAGUUCAGAUUAAAUUAUUAUUCCUGGAUAGAAUUGUUCCUGUAUCUGUUUUUCUCUGUGUGAAGUCCUGAAGUGAUUUGCUUUUUCUUGAAGUGAUGAUCAGAUCACGUGAGUUUCCAAAGAUUCUUCUUGGCUGUCAAGUUUUCUCAAUUUGGUAAUGAGUCACGUGAACUGUGCAAGACAAAUUGGGCUUUAUUUGGGAUUUCAAUUCUGAUUCUGAAGAUCAAAUUUGUUUGAGCAGUGAAUCUUAAAAAUUUGUUAUUGGGCUUAAAUUUUAUUAUAUGAUGGGCCUUUAAUUUGAUUCUCCUUUUGUUGUUAUACAGUGGGCUGAAAACAUCAGUUUUGGGCUUUUUUUGGGCCACGAACUAAUUUGGGUCCUGAAAGAUGGGCUUGCGAAUACACUGUUCCUAGCCUGUUUGUAGUUUUUCAAUUAUCUGUAUAACUAGCAAAAUGCCCGUGCUUCGCUACAGUGUAUUAAAACUAAAAAUAUUUGUUUUAACCGAAGUUAUUUUCACACUGCUUUAAUACUUUUGCUCGCUAGAAAAAGUUUCAAAUGACAGAGAGAAAUAUAGUUCCGAACAAAAGGGAGAUAAAAAAAGACAAAGCCGGUUUGAUUUCCACCUUUAGACGGUGCAAGUCAACAUGGACUCUGAAGAUAUGGGUAGAUCUACGGAGUGGCUCGGCAGCACGGUCGACCAGCGAACCCACUCAGACCAAUCGACGACCGAUCGACGACCGUAGCACGCCUUCAUCCGUCCUGUGACGAACGGAAAGCCCAUCCCUCCUGGCCAUCGGCGAAAACCAUAGCCUCUCGCCCGAGUUGGGGCGAACGACAAAAAGCAGUGGUGCCGGCGUAUGCCCCCUGGCUGGUGCGCGCACUCGCCCGAGGGUGAGUGCGCCGCCGUCGAGCGGCCUUGCCUCGGCGCCCCUCCCCAUCAUCUCCCCCUCGUCUUCCGCGCAGCGUCGACGACGGCUAGUGGCGGUGGUUGAUUACCCGCGCUCGUCGGCGACGACCAACGGCGGCAGUUGGCUACGGUGAAUAUGGCAGCGGUGGCGGCGGGUUGGCGGCGGCCGUGGGCGGAUCCGAGCGUGGUGGCAGCGGCUCUCUCCACCCCCUCUAGCCUCCCUCCUACGGCAGAUCCGCGGGUGGCGGCCGCGGGCGGAUCUAGCGGCGGUGGCUCCCUCCGCCCCCGCUCGCCUUCCUCCCACGGCAGAUCCGGCGGCGUUGGCGGCGUCGGCAGCGUUCGCGAGCGGAUAAGGAGUGGCGGUGGUGGCGUUGGCGGCGACUGUGGAUGGAUCCGGCGGCGGGCGCGCGUUGGCAACGACGGGCGGUGGCGGAGGGCUUCCCACACGGCGUCGGCGACGACCGGCCGUGGCGGAAAACUUCCCGUGCGGCGUCGGCGACGGCCGGCAAUGAGGUAUUUCGUUCCCUUUUUUUUCAAUUUUUGGUUAAAAUUUUUGGGGCUUUUCUUCGGGAAUCCGAGACCCCCUUUUUUUGUACGGACGAAAAAUCACCCGAUGGAUGAAACGGACUGUGAAGAAAGAAAAAUUACAAAUAUUUUAAUUAGUGAAGAUAUAGAAAAAAUUCCCAUGCGUUGUACUGGGUGAAGACUAUCUUAAUCUUAUUAUUAUUAUAUGGUUUAUCUAAAGUGAAAUUAAUUGUAGGAAUUUGCUUGGAUAUUGUUUUUAGUUUUUACACGAUCAUGAGCUACAAUUAGGAGUCCGAUCGUCUCAAGUUAGUAUGCAAAUUGAAGAUGUUUUUUUACAAAUAUAGAAGAAGCUCCUUCUAUAUUUCUAAAAGCAAACAAAUUUAAAACCUACUCAAAUACAAAUUUGUAAUUCAAAAAGCAAAUGAACUUAAAAGCCAACUUAAACACGUAUGAUGUAUCACAGUACUGAUAAAAACAUCUUCAAUUUAAAUUGAAAUAGUAGAGAUAGAGCAGUAUUUAAAUGAUAUUGAAAACAUUCAUGGCUAGUAAAACAAGUAUACUAAUUAAACCAUCGUUGUCUAAAAAAAAAUUAAACCAUCAAUGCUCACCAUCAGCCAGCUAUUUGCCCUCCACGCGUCGUUGAGUCUCGGGACACGUCCCAGUCAUCCAUGGCGACAACGGACGGACCCACACUUCUCGCCACUUCCCAGUCGGACCUAUCCGCCCAGGCGCCCUGGUAUCGGUCUUAUCCUCUUUUCCUCGCUUUCUCCGUCAUCCCUCGUUUUCUCGCGCCGCUGCUUGCCUCCGCUGAGCUCAUCUCGCUGCCCUCCUCACCCAUCGCCCCUGGCCACGCCUUCACUGCCGACUUCGCCGCCUUGGCUACGCUCGCGGUCGCGCUCGCCUGGAGGGCCGCCGCGCCGUGGCGGGAUGGGGUCGUCGCGCAGACUCCACCGCACCAGGUCGCCGCGCUACUUAUCUCCACCGCACCGUCGGCCAUGGAGAUAAAGGCUGCUGCCACCGGCGAUAAGGCGGUAGAGGAGCACCUUGUGAUUUUUUUUUUGUCAUCUCCAUCUAGGUAGAGGAGCGGGUGAGGUGAAGCGAUGAUUUCUUUGAUUGGGAUGUUUUGAUUGAGGAUUACUUAAGUACACAUGUGCCUUUCUUGGGUAAGGGAAGGAUGUGGGUGGUUGAUUUGGAGGGAGUUUCUUAGAUCGGUUUGGGAUUGGGGGAGAGUCGCUGCUGGAUUUGGGUUUCUUGCUGGUUUCUCAUGAUUCUUCUUCCCCCACAGCCACGAGAUAGCUAGAAGAAAAUGGUAGGCCAAUGCAGUCUUUCCUUCUCGAAUGCCUCGGCAGCGAGAGGAGCUGUCCUUGAAAAUUUGUGGUUGUUUUACGGGGAUCUUUGCCUCUUUGUGCUUUCCUGAUUCGCUAGCUUUGAUGCUGGUUCUUGCCUUGUGAUGUGGUGUAUCCGAUUUGGUUCAUUUGUUGCAUUGAAAACCUCCUGGUCUGGGCUGGCAGACGCUCAGGAUUUCUCGGAGGCGGGAGGCCCAGCACCGCGCCAUGCGUUUUUCCACCGCGGGGGCAACCGAGACGGAUUACACGAAUACACAACACGGAAGUCACACGCGUAGAUUUUUAUCGGAUAACAGGAGACGGACGAUUUUUUUAGCGGAAGCCUUGCGUAUUUUUUAAUUAGAUAUAUAUAGAUUUAUAUGCUUCAAGUCCUUGGCGGUUGGAUCUAGAUCGGAGGGACAAAAAAUUUGACAGAUUGAGAGGGUUGUUUUCUGUCGAAUGAGCAGUAGACAGUCCAUUAUCACAAAACUAUAGAUUUAGAACUAAUUUAGUCAUAAAAUAAUAAUGCUUAUAGAUCCAACAUAAUAAUAAUGGUUAUAGGGAUUUAAAGUUGUAGUUUUGUGAUAACUCCAAUUUUAAAUAUGUAGUUUUGUGAUAUUUAACUUUAAAUCUGUAGUUUUGUGAUAAAUAUGAUGCUAAAUCUGUAAUUUUGUGAUAUAACGCCUUAAAUUUGUAGUUUUGCAAUAGUUUAAUCAAAAUACCAAAAGUUUUGUGAAAUUUACUCUUAUGCGUUUCUUGCCAAUUAAUUACUCCACAUGUUUGCCACCAUUAAAACACAUAAUAGCAUAUUUGCAUUAAGAAAAAAGAAGCUAGAAUACAUGUUAUUUAGCUUCUCCUAAACCUCCAACUCUUUUCUUUCAAACAGUCUAGUUCCCACCUAAAUCUUAGGAAUAUGUGGUUGUAGAAUAAAAUGAAUUAGAAAAAAAAUACUGAAGCUAACUACGUCACAUCAUCUAUAAUUUAGUACAUAUUAAAACUCGACAUGUAACCAAUGCUAAAAUUUAUCAUUUCCAUAAUAUUUCAAUCUAUAUCUAUCUAUCAUUUCUUUCUUUAACAUUUAAUACAUAUCCAUCCAUCAUUUCUACAACAUUUAGCAUAUAUUUAUCAUGUAUUUGGCAGCAAAGCAGGAGAUGUAAGUGAUUUGUGAUUCAAAGACAUAACUUUUAUAUACCAGCUUAUUCACUA